rnacentral:lncRNA from 1 species
AUAGAAACUGCUCCAUACUUGAUACCUAUUAUCGUUACAACCAUCUUUAAUAUCAGGUUCUUGUAAAUAACAAUGGAAUUGGUUGGCUGUACUGUUUCAGAGAGUAACAGUGCUCCCUUGACUAAAAGAAAGAAGAUUGGUUGUGUAGUUUCCUCAGCAAGAAUGUGGACUUGAUAACUCCACCUUUUAGAAUAAAAGGAGAUCCGGUGCGGUGGCUGAUGCCUUUGAUCCCAGCACUUCAGGAGGCUGAGGUGGGAGGAUCGCAUGAGCCCAGGAGUUGGAGACCAGCCUGGGCAACAUAGUGAUACCCUGUUUUUACAAAAAAAUAAAAAUUAGCCUGGUGUGGUGUCAUGUACCUGUGGUCCCAGCUGCUUGGGAGGCUGAGGUGGGAGGAUCACUUGAGCCCAGGAGGUCAAUGCUGCAGUGAGCUGUGCUUGCGCCACUGCACUCCAGCCUGGGCAACAGAGCAAGGCCUUGUCUCAAAAAAAAAAAAAGUGUGUACAUAUAUAUACACACAUACAUAUGUAUCUAUAUAUGUAUGUACAUAUAUACACAUAUAUAGGUGUAUGUAUAUAUAUAAAAUAAGAAUAAAAGAAGGAAAAAAUGAGAGUGUGGAGUAGGUGAGUGAGUAAGAGCUUUCCAAAGGAAUAGCUAAGAAAAAGAGAAUGGGAAGGAGACUUCAAAAUGCAGGGAAACAGCCUACUAACAUGCCUAAUCUCUCAUGUGAAAUCUAGAGUAAAUCAGUAAAUAAUAAUAGCUAAGAUUUAUUGGUGCUAGAUAUAUGCCAAGCACUAGUCUAAACUUUUUUCAUGUUUGAGGAUUAUACCUGGACAUUGACUGAUGUAAAGACUAAAUGAAUUAAUACAUAUAAAGUGUUUAGAACAGGGCCUACCACAUAUAAGUGCUAAAUUUUGCUAUUAUUAUUAUUUUAACUAUAAUCUCCACGGCAACCCUAUGAAGUAGGUACUAACAUCAUCCCCAUUUUACAGUAUCUUAGGCUGGUUUCCCUAGAAGCCAAUCCUGAGAUGGGAUUUAGACCCUGUAAUUUAUCGAGGGAGGGCUCUUUAGGAGGAACCCAUAGGGAGAGAGUGAAACAGGAUAGGGAAGGGGAAACAACCAAGAAAAACGGAUCUUAGGAAAUCCUAGCCUUGAUCUGCUCUAUUGAGGGAGGGCUCUGGAAUCUAGAGCAUAAACCAAACUGCAGAAUUAGCCCCAUCUUACACAAAGGUGUUUGUACCUUUGUAUCAGGAUAAAGUGGGGCGUAACUGCACCCCCCCAAGUGUGGCUGCCUUCCCUAGUGUAGACUCUCCAGAGAAAAAGGCACCUGUGAGCUCUAGCAGCCAACCUCACAACAGUGGAGAGACAGGUGUACUGGCCAGUAAAGCGUAUCCAAACAGGGCACCUAACAUAGCAUCCACCAAGGCUAGUAAAUGGUAGAACCAGUCUGUCUCAGGAGCCAUGCUUUUACUUUCUCUAUAUAUACUGACUUUUAAAAAUUCAAAAGGAAAAUGACAAAUGGAGACCUAUGUUACUGAUAAAGAGUUAAUACUAAAUACUUAGUAUUUAAAUGAAAUUACCUUACAGUCUAACCUCUUACAAUGAAAUAACCUCAAAGAAAAAAAGACAACAACCCAAUAGGGCAAAGGACAAGGACCA